GAUGCUUUUCUUAACCAAUCAACAACCAAGUCAACAAAGGUGAGACAGUCAACAAGGAAACACAAAGGACCCCCUAAUGAGAUAACAUGCUGCAACAAGAGACUGAGACAACACUAGCUGUACACAGUGGCAUUUAGCAGUUGAGGGUUCCACACAGUGAUUGGAAGGAAUGUGUUUGGCGGACAUGACAGACACGAGUGUGUAUGUACUCCUACACACUAUUUGUUCACCUUACUUUUCUGGACAAACAUUCCAGACACAUAUUCAAUUUCUCGUAACAUAAACUUCCUGUUAGAAAUGCUUCCUGUACCCAGUUUGUGAUAUAGCAGGUCUUACCCGCACAAAGGCUGCCGGGAACCAGCCCCGGCGCUGCUCCGUACACCCGAACCACCAGUCCUUGUCCGACAUGUCCGUCACCCGGAUCUGCUCCCCUGCUCGGAAACCCAGCUCAUCCGGGUCCAUGGUCACAUGAUCCCAAAGGGCCUCUGCAAAGGUCCUCGUCUCCUCCUGCAUCUGAACACACAACCAGGCACUGCUAGAAACAUGCUCACAACUCUCAGCAAUAGGUCUUUCAGUUCUUCUAUUCAUAACAUAGAUAUUAUAUCCAUACCGUUACAGAAGGUAAAUCUAGUAGGAUCUAGUAGAUAUUUGUCAAAAUACUUCACAUGACGAGCCUCUGUACCUUAUUAAAA